AGCAGCCGCGGUAAUUCCAGCUUCAAUAGCGUAUAUUAAAGUUGUUGCAGUUAAAAAGCUCGUAGUUGAAUUUCGGGAUUGACGUGAUGGUCGUGCCUUAAGGGGUAUGAACUGUUGCUGUUGAUUUCUCACCUUCUGGAGAAACUUGAUGUCCUUAAUUGGGUGUCUUGCGGAUCCAGGACCUUUACCUUGAAAAAUUAGAGUGUUUAAAGCAGGCAUUUUGCUCGAAUACAUUAGCAUGGAAUAAUAGAAUAGGACGGCAUGGUUCUAUUUUGUUGGUUUCUAGGAUCACCGUAAUGAUUAAUAGGGAUAGUUGGGGGCAUUAGUAUUCAAUUGUCAGAGGUGAAAUUCUUGGAUUUAUUGAAGACUAACUACUGCGAAAGCAUUUGCCAAGGAUGUUUUCAUUAAUCAAGAACGAAAGUUAGGGGAUCGAAGACGAUCAGAUACCGUCGUAGUCUUAACCAUAAACUAUGCCGACUAGGAAUCAGACGAUGUUAAUUUUUAAUGUACUCGUUUGGCU
rnacentral:misc_RNA from 1 species